rnacentral:rRNA from 1 species
UACGAAGGGUGCAAGCGUUAUUCGGAAUCACUGGGCGUAAAGGGUGCGUAGACGGUAUGUUAAGUUUGUUGUUAAAGGCUCCGGCCUAACUGGAGUAUUGCGAUGAAAACUGGCGUGCUAGAGGGUGAGAGAGAGAAGUGGAAUUCCCGGAGUAGCGGUAAAAUGCGUGGAUCUCGGGAGGAACACCAAUGGCGAAGGCAGCUUCUUGGCUCAUUCCUGACGUUGAGGCACGAAAGCGUGGGGAGCAAACAGG